AUGAAUAAUGUGCCUUUCACCAAUAGGGCUUUGAGGGGUCUAUGUGGUGAAAUCAGCCAAGAUCAAGCAGACGAUGAUGUUCGGAAAACUAUGGAUGUCUUUGCAGAAUUGGGUUCAAAGGAUUCUGGUUUAUACUACAGAGUACAACCAGACAGUGAUAGUCAGAUAAGGAAUUUACUGUGGUCAACUGGUGCAAACAGAAUGCAGUACCAUUAUUUCAGAGAUGCAUUAACAUUUGACACAACAUACCAUACAAACCUCUAUGAUAUGCCAUUUGGGCUGUUUGUUGGAGUUAACAACCACUUUCAGAGCAUUAUCUUCGGUGGUGUGCUUGUUAGGGAUGAGACAGCUGAAACUUUCAAGUGCGUGUUCAACGAAUUCAUCCGCAUGAUGGGCGACAAACAUCCUCAGACCAUUCUUACAGAGUCCGUGUUGGCGGUGCACCUGACGAUCGGCCCCAUGUGCUGCGAUGAUGAGUGCAUUGGAGGUAUAUUACAAAUAUAUGCAUGA
rnacentral:rRNA from 1 species